GUUGUAAUUUGCAGAGGAUGCUUUGGCAUUGGCGGCGGUCUAAGUUCCUUGGAACAGGACAUCGCAGAGGGUGAGAAUCCCGUACGUGGGCGCCUGCCUUUGCCGUGUAAAGCUCCUUCGACGAGUCGAGUUGUUUGGGAAUGCAGCUCUAAAUGGGAGGUAAAUUUCUUCUAAAGCUAAAUACCGGCCAGAGACCGAUAGCGCACAAGUAGAGUGAUCGAAAGAUGAAAAGUACUUUGGAAAGAGAGUCAAAAAGCACGUGAAAUUGUUGAAAGGGAAGCGCUUGCAGCCAGACUUGCCCGCAGUUGCUCACCUAGGCUUUGGCCUGGGGCACUCUUCUGCGGGCAGGCCAGCAUCAGUUUGGGCGGUCGGACAAAGGCCUCUGUCAAGUAUCUCCCUUCGGGGUGACCUUAUAGGGGAGGCGUAAUGCGACCAGCCCGGACUGAGGUCCGCGCAUCUGCUAGGAUGCUGGCGUAAUG
rnacentral:rRNA from 1 species